ACAGCAGUAGCCGCGGUAAUGCAGAGGAUGCAAGCGUUACCCGGAAUGAUUGGGCAUAAAGCGUCUGUAGGUGGCUUUUUAAGUCCGCCGUCAAAUCCCAGGGCUCAACCCUAGACAGGCGGUGGUAACUACCAAGCUGGAGUAUGGUAGGGGCAGAGGGAAUUUCCGGUGGAGCGGUGAAAUGCGUUGAGGUCGGAAAAAACACCAACGGCGAAAGCGCUCUGCUGGGCCGACACUGACACUGAGAGACGAAAGCUAGGGGAGCAAAUGGGAUUAGAUACCCCAGUAGUCCCUGUCUCUUAUAA
rnacentral:rRNA from 1 species